GUUUUGUUGUUCCUUCACCAUCUCCACCAAGGAGACCUUGUUGUUCUGGGUUGUCAAGAAUGGCAAGAAAGCCCAAGAUGAUUAACUUGGUUGUGCUUCUCGGCAUUUUAGCUCUGCUCUUUUGUGAGUAAAACAGAUGGGGUGUUGUCAGUCUCGGGUGUGGAGAUAAUUCCAUUGCUUCAUGUUACACCAUUUGCAACCAUUAAGUCUCUUCCAUUCUAUCUUGGUAUGAAUUUUGUGCAUUUCCCAUACAUAUGUGCUUUAUGUCCUGUAAGUGUUUGUUGUUGUUAUUAGCAAAGCGGGACCAUAAAUGUUAACAUUUUUUGAAAUGGCAUGAGCCUCUGUAAACAAGGCUUCAAGUGAUUUUAAUGAAGUCAGUUUAUGCACAUUAUUGAUAAGGGGUGUUUGGGACAACUUUUAGCAUACACUACUGGGACACCUUUAGGGACGCGGGUGGCGCUGUGGGUAAAACCUCAGUGCCUAGGACUUGCCGAUCGUAUGGUUGGUGGUUUGAAUCCCCGCGGCGGAGUGAGCUCCCAUCUUUCGGUCCCAGCUCCUGCCCACCUAGCAGUUCGAAAGCACAAUUAAGUGCAAGUAGAUGAAUAGGUACCGCUUUAUAGCGGGAAGGUAAACAGCGUUUCCGUGUGCUGCGCUGGUGCUGGCUUGCCAGAGCAGCUUCGUCACGCUGGCCACGUGACCCGGAAGUGUCUCCAGACAGCGCUGGCCCCCGGCCUCUUAAGUGAGAUGGGCGCACAACCCUAGAGUCGGACACGACUGGCCCGUACGGGCAGGGGUACCUUUACCUUUUUACUGGGACACCUUUAACAAGAUGAAAGGUUACACCAGCACUAUCCUAUGAAAACAGGAUGCUGGACUAGAUGCUAGCCUACAGAGCUCUUCCUAUGUUCUUAUGUCAUGUUCUCUGCAUAAUUCUUGUUCAAAAUGAAUUCUAGUUUAUUUUCCAUAUAAAUGUUAUCUUAAGCUAUUCCUGAGAUUGCACAUUCUAGAUCAGUAAUGAUGACCAACAGCUGCCACAACAAAAUGGCCUCGUAUAUAUUAGCAGUAAAUGCUUACUGGACCUCAGAUCAUUCUGUAACUUUAUCUUGCAUUAGUUUUGAUGCACAUGAAGCUAUUUAGAAUUAGGGUGGGUUGUGAUGCAAUUUCAUGCUAAAUUACUUCCUCCUUUCAAGCAGCUGAAGCUAUCAAAUGCAAGGUGUGCAAAUUCCAAUAUCCUGGUUUUAUCUGUUUCAAAGGAAGUGAUGUAUGCACAGCCUUACGUUGCAAAACAACCUAUAUCAAAGAAGGUAUGUUUGCCUUGAAAUUAACUCUUAUGUGUUAAUUUAAGUGGGAUGGAGUGGCCAUACUAGUUUCAUGGCAUGUGGGUCAUUGAGCCUGUUGCUUACUGGAAAGGAGAGGGGUGAGGAGGUGCAAAAGCACUGGGAGAGCAGUUCCAGAACUCCUGGUGGUGCCUUUGCACCAAGCCAAUCUCCUUGCCCUUCUCCCUUCUGGUAAACAACAGCGAUCCAACUGCUGGGAAGCAAAUGUAGCAGUUCCCUCGAGCUACUUCUGUACAUGUCUCAUCUCACCGGCUUAUUUUCUGUCUUUUAUUGCUAUGUGCUAGACUAGGGCUUAUCCGGGGAUGCAGGUGGCGCUGUGCUCUAAACCACUGAGCUUUGGGCUUGCCGAUCAAAAGGUUGGUGGUUCGAAUCCCUGUGACGGGGUGAGCUCCCAUUGCUCGGUCCCAGCUCCUGCCAACUUAGCAGUUCGAAAGCACGCCAAAAAGUGCAAGUAGAUGAAUAGGUACUGCUCCGGAGGGAAGGUAAACGGUGUUUCCGUGCACUGCUCUGGUGUCGGUGUUCUGUUGUGCCAGAAGUGGCUCAGUCAUGGUGGCCACAUGACCUGGAAAAACUGUCUGCAGAGCGGACAAGCGCUUGCUCCCUCGGCCUGUAAAGUGAGAUGAGCAACCCCAGAGUUGUUCGUGACUGGCCUUAACUGUCAGGGGUCCCUUUACCUUUAGGGCUCAUCCAGAAUUCCUUUGGUGGGCCAUUUCUAGGCACAAGUUCAAGCUUUAAAGCUCCGCAUCUGAGUAGGUUUUUUGUUUUGGUGCUGGUGCUUUCCCCAGGAAAACCCACGUUUUACCACUGAAUCAGAGCAAACAGUGAUCAGGUUUUCCAUGGAUAGCUUCAUUAAUGAACUCCCAAAUCUGGAAUCCCCUUAGAACUGGUGCCAAAGUUUUGCAAUCGUUUCGCAGUGAAGGCCCAACGUUUGCAGCGCCCCACAAAUGGAGUAAUUGAUACAUCAAAGCGGGGCUCAUAAUUAAUGCCCCAAACCCAAUGUGUCCAAUUCACUCCAAACAGAUGCCAAACUCUGGCAAAAAGUUUUGCAGCAUUGGUCAGUAAAAACCCUGUGUUUUGCAGCGCCCCAAAAAUGGAGCAGUAGACAUUCAAACCCGGGGGUCAUGGGGUCACCAAAAUCCCAACGUUGUCCAAUUCACUUCAAACCGGCGCCAAACUUUGGCAAAAAGUUUUGCAGCGUUUUGCAGUGAAAACCCUGAAUUUUGCAGUGCUGCACAAAGACCAAGGGAGGGAGCAGAGCAGGAGCCCCUGCCAUGAUGCUGAUGCCCAUGUUGCCACCGACCUCUGGCCCUUCCCUGGCUUGGAAGGAGCGGUGCAUGGUGAGGGGGGUGGGGUGAAUGUGGGGCCCAAUGUUUUGUUCAAGUUGGCGCUACUGGCUAGAAGGAAAUUGGAUUCCCUCUGCAUGUUUGUGUGUGUGUGGGAGGGUAGCUGCCGUGACUUCUCUUUGAAUGUGGUUUCACCAAUUAUGCCAGCCUUUCUCAAGCUUGGGUCCCCAGAUGUUGUUGAACUACAACUCCCAUCAUCCCUAGCUAGCAAGGCCAGAGCUCAGGGAUGAUGGGAGUUGUAGUCCAACGACAUCUGGGGACCCAAGGUUGAGAAACACUGACUUAUGCAUUUGUUUUUAUUCCUCUGCAGUUGAACGGAUGCUUUACGUGGAAAAAGGAUGCACCACUAUACCACCUGACAGGUGUCAUUAUACCACCGGAAAUCUUACCCACAGCCUCAUGACAGUCUGCUGUAAAGGAAAAGAUUAUUGCAAUGCCUGAGCAUUUCCUAGAGGAGCAUGACCCUCUAGGCUGAGCUUCUUUAUGGCAGCCAUACUUCUGAGACCAUUUCAGCUGUGCUUUAAAAGGCUUUGCCAUACCAAAUUGUCUUCCGAAAUCUCACCCUUUUCCUGAAAGAGGGAUAAUGUGGUUUGUCACCCAUGGAUCCUUCUCCUUAGUGUUUCUUUUCCUUUUCCUUUUCCUUUUCCUUUUCCUUUUCCUUUUCCUUUUCCUUUUCCUUCCUUUUUGGCGGGGGUGAGGUGUCAGUAUUCAAAUCUUGAUAAAAGUGCUCAGAGUGCCAGCACAAAAGGACUACCAUGGCGCGGGGCAAAAAAAGAGGUCACGGUAUUCCAUAUAAUUGAGUACUAUCACGCCAAAACAAAACAAAAUCCUGCCUCUUCCAAUUGCCCAGAGAGCCACGUUUUAGACAUUUUCAAAAAAAAAAAAGAAAAGAAAAAAAAGAUUGCCCAGGAUUUUAACUGAUUUUAUAUUUACUGCUUUUUAAAUUUUUACUGUUGC